rnacentral:rRNA from 1 species
UACGUAGGGGGCAAGCGUUGUCCGGAUUCAUUGGGCGUAAAGAGCGUGUAGGCGGCCCGGUAAGUCCGCUGUAAAAGUCAAAGGCUCAACCUUUGAAUGUCAGUGGAUACUGCCGGGCUAGAGUCCGGAAGAGGCGAGUGGAACUCCUGGUGUAGCGGUGGAAUGCGCAGAUAUCAGGAAGAACACCAACGGCGAAGGCAGCUCGCUGGGACGGUACUGACGCUGAGACGCGAAAGCGUGGGGAGCGAACAGG